AGAGUUUGAUCCUGGCUCAGGACGAACGCUGGCGGCGUGCCUAAUACAUGCAAGUUGAGCGCUGAAGGUUGGUACUUGUACCGACUGGAUGAGCAGCGAACGGGUGAGUAACGCGUGGGGAAUCUGCCUUUGAGCGGGGGACAACAUUUGGAAACGAAUGCUAAUACCGCAUAAAAACUUUAAACACAAGUUUUAAGUUUGAAAGAUGCAAUUGCAUCACUCAAAGAUGAUCCCGCGUUGUAUUAGCUAGUUGGUGAGGUAAAGGCUCACCAAGGCGAUGAUACAUAGCCGACCUGAGAGGGUGAUCGGCCACAUUGGGACUGAGACACGGCCCAAACUCCUACGGGAGGCAGCAGUAGGGAAUCUUCGGCAAUGGACGAAAGUCUGACCGAGCAACGCCGCGUGAGUGAAGAAGGUUUUCGGAUCGUAAAACUCUGUUGGUAGAGAAGAACGUUGGUGAGAGUGGAAAGCUCAUCAAGUGACGGUAACUACCCAGAAAGGGACGGCUAACUACGUGCCAGCAGCCGCGGUAAUACGUAGGUCCCGAGCGUUGUCCGGAUUUAUUGGGCGUAAAGCGAGCGCAGGUGGUUUAUUAAGUCUGGUGUAAAAGGCAGUGGCUCAACCAUUGUAUGCAUUGGAAACUGGUAGACUUGAGUGCAGGAGAGGAGAGUGGAAUUCCAUGUGUAGCGGUGAAAUGCGUAGAUAUAUGGAGGAACACCGGUGGCGAAAGCGGCUCUCUGGCCUGUAACUGACACUGAGGCUCGAAAGCGUGGGGAGCAAACAGGAUUAGAUACCCUGGUAGUCCACGCCGUAAAC
rnacentral:rRNA from 1 species